GACGAACGCUGGCGGCGUGCUUAACACAUGCAAGUCGAACGGAAAGGCCCUGCUUUUGUGGGGUGCUCGAGUGGCGAACGGGUGAGUAACACGUGAGUAACCUGCCCUUGACUUUGGGAUAACUUCAGGAAACUGGGGCUAAUACCGGAUAGGAGCUCCUGCUGCAUGGUGGGGGUUGGAAAGUUUCGGCGGUUGGGGAUGGACUCGCGGCUUAUCAGCUUGUUGGUGGGGUAGUGGCUUACCAAGGCUUUGAUGGGUAGCCGGCAUGAGAGGGUGACCGGCCACAUUGGGACUGAGAUACGGCCCAGACUCCUACGGGAGGCAGCAGUGGGGAAUAUUGCACAAUGGGCGGAAGCCUGAUGCAGCAACGCCGCGUGCGGGAUGACGGCCUUCGGGUUGUAAACCGCUUUCGCCUGUGACGAAGCGUGAGUGACGGUAAUGGGUAAAGAAGCACCGGCUAACUACGUG
rnacentral:rRNA from 1 species